CUAACACAUGCAAGUCGAACGGUAACAGGAAGCAGCUUGCUGCUUCGCUGACGAGUGGCGGACGGGUGAGUAAUGUCUGGGAAACUGCCUGAUGGAGGGGGAUAACUACUGGAAACGGUAGCUAAUACCGCAUAACGUCGCAAGACCAAAGAGGGGGACCUUCGGGCCUCUUGCCAUCGGAUGUGCCCAGAUGGGAUUAGCUAGUAGGUGGGGUAACGGCUCACCUAGGCGACGAUCCCUAGCUGGUCUGAGAGGAUGACCAGCCACACUGGAACUGAGACACGGUCCAGACUCCUACGGGAGGCAGCAGUGGGGAAUAUUGCACAAUGGGCGCAAGCCUGAUGCAGCCAUGCCGCGUGUAUGAAGAAGGCCUUCGGGUUGUAAAGUACUUUCAGCGGGGAGGAAGGCGACAGGGUUAAUAACCCUGUCGAUUGACGUUACCCGCAGAAGAAGCACCGGCUAACUCCGUGCCAGCAGCCGCGGUAAUACGGAGGGUGCAAGCGUUAAUCGGAAUUACUGGGCGUAAAGCGCACGCAGGCGGUCUGUCAAGUCGGAUGUGAAAUCCCCGGGCUCAACCUGGGAACUGCAUUCGAAACUGGCAGGCUAGAGUCUUGUAGAGGGGGGUAGAAUUCCAGGUGUAGCGGUGAAAUGCGUAGAGAUCUGGAGGAAUACCGGUGGCGAAGGCGGCCCCCUGGACAAAGACUGACGCUCAGGUGCGAAAGCGUGGGGAGCAAACAGGAUU
rnacentral:rRNA from 1 species